UUUCUGUAUUGUUUUAGUGAUUCACUACAGUGAAGGCGUAGGCUCAGGUUUUCUGGGUCUCUCUGUGUUUUUGGUUGGACAGGUUCCUCCAUUUCUUUCUUAGGUUUUUGCGUUUUUUGAAUUUAAGUGAAUUUACUCAUCAAACCACUUGUCAUUGUUGUACAUUUUUCUACGGUUGUCUUGUUGAAAUGUUUCGAUUUUAUAGGGAAUCUGAGAGGUCAAAUAUACUUUUAAGGGAUUGAAUUUGUUGUACUCAAAUUGUUUUCUCGUAGGUUUCCACACUACUUUCCUUCCAUCUACAGCAAGCUCUUAAUAGUAUGCAGUUUGUUCAGCUUUGAUGGUUGAUUAUUGAUCUUUCAAUUCAAUUCAAUUCAAAGGGCUUAAUUGGCAAUGGAAACAUAUGUUUAUAUUGCCAAAGCACGUGAAAUAGAUAAACAAUAAAAAAUGAACAGUAAACAUUACACUGACAAAAGUUAAAGGAAUAUAAACAUUUCAAAUGUCACAUUAUGGCUACGGUAUGUACAGUGUUGUAACGAUGUGCAAAUUAUUUAAAGUACAAAGGGGAAAAUAUAUCAUUCUCUCUCUCUCUCUCCAGGUGAUAAGGGGAGGAGGUCACUAUGUAUUUGCUGACCAGCCAGAUGACUUCAAUCAGAACAUUCUUCACAUCCUAGCCAGGAUGGACGGAGUGAAGGAUGAGAGGAGGUCACUAUGUAUUUGCUGACCAGCCAGAUGACUUCAAUCAGAACAUUCUUCACAUCCUAGCCAGGAUGGACGGAGUGAAGGAUGAGAGGAGGGAGAGAAGGAUGAGAGGAGGGCGAGAAGGAUGAGAGGAGGGCGAGAAGGAUGAGAGGAGGGCGAGAAGGAUGAGAGGAGGGCGAGAAGGAUGAGAGGAGGGCGAGAANNNNNNNNNNCUGGAUGAGGGGACUGGGGCUUCAGUGUGUUAGUAGAACAGGUUAGUGAACUCAGCCCCAGGACUAGCUGGAUGAGGGGACUCUUUUCUUUGCUCUGCUCUUGGCAUUGCAGGGCUUGGUAGUGAUAUGAGAGGGGGCCACUGUAUUUUAGAUGUUUCCUAAACUUAAUUGCUCUUUUUUGAGUUUGUAUUAUGAUUGGAUAUUGACCUAAUUCUGCCCUGCAUGCAUUGUUUGUAGUUUUCCUCUGGACAUGUAGGAGAAUCUUACAGAACUCUGCAUGCAGUGUUUCAAUGGGGUGUUUAUAUCUCAGUUCUAUCUCAGUUCAUUCACUGCCUCAUUAAGGUGUCCAGUUGAGCUUAUUUUUAAACCUAAGUAAUUGCUGCUGCUAAGUAAUUGCUGCUGUGAUGUCACACUGUGCUAUUUCACCCAAUAGAUA
rnacentral:lncRNA from 13 species